CUGGAGGAGAAAAAUCGUGAGCUCCUGCAGGAGAAACAAGCAGCAGAGAAACUGAAGAAUCAGUUCAAGUCCAAAUGCCACGAGAUGAUCAAAUCUGAGAGGGAGA